CCCAACCAGGUUGUCCUGGCUCGAGAACUGGCAACCUCCAGAGAAUAUGCGAGUGAGUAUGGGCUGCAGGGAGCUGUGCGUCCGGGAGCAGGGCAAGCGGCUCCGUGCAGGGCGGCUGGGGUGGCAGGGCCGGUGUUUCUGUGCUGAUUUCAGGGUACAGGACACUGUUGGCUUUAGAGACCACCAGGCUGUUGUGUACAAUGUUUGAAAGACUUUAAUUUGUACCAGUUACCUUUGUGAGUCAUGUCUUUAGUGUUUUUUGUUGUUUCUGAUAGUAACUCACUUCUCUCUCACCUGAAGUUAAAAUUCUGGAGAAGCGACAUAUCAUAAAAGAGAACAAGGUCCCCUAUGUAACCAGAGAGCGGGAUGUCAUGUCGCGCCUGGAUCACCCCUUCUUUGUUAAGCUUUACUUCACAUUUCAGGACGACGAGAAGCUGUGUAUCCUUUGCGUGGUUGGUGCCGUCUGAAGCCACACCAGUCACCCCUCUCACUUGGAAUCAGACCCUGUGUGUUCCCACAAGCAGCCCCCGCUCCCUGCCGAGUGGGGUCCCUCAGGCCGCUGACAUUCAGGGAGGCAGCCGAGGCAGCGCCAGGGUGUGGCUGGGAGUCUGCACAGGACGUUACCUCCCGGAGAAGCCACCGAUGUGGCUCCAGCACAGUCCUCUCUGCUGCGGCUUGCUUGGUCGGCGUCCCUUGCUCCCCUAGAGCUCCAUCUUUUCUGUUAUUAAACCUUGGCUCAGGAAUCUGGGAGGCAAGGCCCGGUGGAAGUUGGGGUGGGCCCCACCUCUGCCCCAUCCAGCUGACCUGUGGGCCUGCCAGUGGCUGGGCUGGCCACGCCACACCGUCGUCACCCCCAGCAGGUGCAGUCUGCAUCUGCUCUUCUCCUCCCCCGCCACCCUCCAAGCUGGCCCAAGUGUCGUGGCCUCCCCAUCCUGCCUGGGGAGGGGCCUGAGUCCUCCCACCUGUCCUCCCCGUCUCUCCCCAGCACCCGGCUCUUCUGUGUUAGAGCUUCGUUCUGGCCUGCUCCCACUCUCAGCACCAUCCUGCAGCUCCUUCGGCUGCCGGCGGAGUGUGUGUGCUCUCUCUGUUUGGAGGUGCUUGCCAAGUGCAGGUUGAUGGGUGAUGGGGAUGCGCUGCUAUGCCGGGUGGCGUCUCUGCCCACGAGAAGCUUCGAUUUUGGUGGAGGAGCUGGACGUGCACUGACGAUCCGUGUCAGAGGCUUCCCGGCAGCAAGAUGUGCUGCCAAGAGUCUUAGGGCUGGGUAGGGGCUGGCGGCAGUGUGGGGCUCUUUCAGCUCCUGGGCAGGAGUGUGUGGGGGGGCAUGAAAGGCUGUGGUGGGCUGGGCCCCUGAGCCGUGGCAGCCUGGCACUGACUCUGGACUUCCUUCUCUUUGUGGCGGGGAACGUGGGGUUUGCUGUGGCUUCUCCUAGGCCAGGCGUGGUAGCGCGUACCUACGUUCCCAGCCACUUGGGUUGGUUAAGGUGGGAGGAUCGCUUGAGCCAGGGAGGUUGAGGCUGCAGUGAGCUAUGAUUGUGCCCCUGCACUCCAGUCUGGGCAACGGAGUAAACCUGCUCCAAAACGAAACAAGAGAUUUUUACACUUCCUUAACUGCACGAUAUUCAGAUUUCGGCCUUAGUUAUGCCAAAAAUGGAGAACUACUUAAAUAUAUUCGCAAAAUCGGUUCAUUCGAUGAGACCUGUACCCGAUUUUACACGGCUGAGAUUGUGUCUGCUUUAGAGUACUUGCACGGCAAGGGCAUCAUUCACAGGUAACCGCGGGGGUGGCUGGGUGGGUUUGCAGGACGUCAGUUUGAUGAUCAGGGCCAGUGACCGUUUGGCUCACAGGCCACGGCUGAUGCCCAGAUGGCCCCCGCCCUUGAGGUCAGCCAGGUUGGAGUGCUCCCUGGAUGGGUGGGACUGAGAUGCCUGCCUGUGCCACAGCCUGAGUGCCAAGGCGAGGCCACACGUCCACGGAGCGCUGACGUGGAGAGGCUCUCCUGCCAAUACCACAUGCAAUGGUUGCGUGUCUUUCCUGGCGAGCUAAUGAUUCUUUUCACCAUCUUGACUGAUGCUUUUUAUCUUUUUCAGUUGUAGCUUCUGUGUGUACUUCUUUCUGGUCUCGUUUUUCAUGACUUUCUGAUAAAGUCAGCUCAGAAGUGUGCAUAGCUUUCAUUUUGUGCGUUAAAAAUGAUAGAUUUUACUUCGUUAAAAAACGACUUAGAAUGACAUGGAGAUGUGAGGUGGUGAAUCCCUACUGUGUCCAGCCAACACUUGUUGCUUGUGAGCUUUAGGCCUGUAGCCCUGGUUGUCAGCCUGUAAGGAUCAUAUACAUUCAUUCGUUCAUUUUGUUUUCAGCAAAAUUUAGA
ensembl:lncRNA novel transcript